rnacentral:rRNA from 1 species
UCUUUUCAUUGUGUGCCAGCAGCCGCGGUAAUACGUAGGUCCCGAGCGUUGUCCGGAUUUAUUGGGCGUAAAGCGAGCGCAGGCGGUUUGAUAAGUCUGAAGUUAAAGGCUGUGGCUCAACCAUAGUUCGCUUUGGAAACUGUCAAACUUGAGUGCAGAAGGGGAGAGUGGAAUUCCAUGUGUAGCGGUGAAAUGCGUAGAUAUAUGGAGGAACACCGGUGGCGAAAGCGGCUCUCUGGUCUGUAACUGACGCUGAGGCUCGAAAGCGUGGGGAGCGAACAGG